rnacentral:rRNA from 1 species
UCGAGCUAAAUGCAGUCGGAGGUAGCACAGAGAGCUUGGUCUCGGGUGAGGAGUGUGGGACGGGUGAGUAAUGUGUGGGGAUCUGCCCGAUAUAGGGGGAUAUCCCCUGUGGACGGUGGGUCAUACCGCGUAACGUCUCAAGAGCAAAGAGGGGGAGCUUCGGGGCUCUCACUAUCGGAUGAGCCCCGAUGGGAUUAGCUAUUAUGCGGGGUAACGGCCCACCUAUGCGACAAUACCUAGCUGGGCUGAGAGGAUGACCAGCCACACUGUAACUGAGACACGGUCCACACUCCUACAGGAGGCGGCACUGGGGAAUAUUGCGCAAUGGGCGCAAGCCUGAUGCACCCAUGUCCCGUGUGUGAAAAAAGCCUUCUGGUUGUAAAGUACUUUCUCCGGGGAGGAAAGCGGUGAGGUUAAUAACCUUACUGAUUGACAUUUCCCGCACAAAAAACACCGGCUAACUCCCUGCCACCACCCGCGGUAAUACACAGAGUGCGAGCGUUAAUCUCAAUUACUGGGCGUAAAGCGCACGCACGCGGUCUGUUAAGUCACAUAUGAAAUCUCCGGGCUUUACCUGUGAGCUGCGUUUGAGAAUGUCACGCUUGAGUCUCUCAGAGAGGGGUAUAGUUCCAGGUGUAGCGCUGAAAUACGUGGAGAUCUGGAGGAAUACAGGUGGCGAAAGCGGCCCCCUGUACGAAGACAGAGACUCUCGUGCGAAAGCGUGUGGAGCACACAGGAUUAUAUACACUGUUAGUCCACACCGUAUACGAUGUCUACAUGUAGGUUGUGCCCCGAGGAGAGUCUCCCCAGCUCACACGUUUGUCGACAGCCUGUGGAGUACACCGCACGGUUUAACUCACAUGUGUUUCAGGGGCGCGCACACGCGCGGUAGCAUGUGUGUUAUAUCUAUGCACGCGCAGAGCUUUCCUACUCUCGACAUCUACAGAAUCUGCACAGAUGCCUAUUG